AGAGAGAAAGUAAAAAAAAGUGUAAAGACCGGGAUACAUUGUCCGUACUUGCUAGUGUAAUUUAGAUUUUCACUAGCGCAUCUGGUUAUGUUAAUACUAUAGGAAAAUCUAAAGAAAUAAACGAUUUUCUAUACAUGUUAAAAAUGAAAGCUUUAUUCAGCUGCUCUGCAUCCUCUGAAAUUAAUUCAAUUUGGCCAUUUUUUUUAAAGAAAUUGACAAACCUUAAUGAAAUCGAAUGUUUCUAUAAAGCAGUCAUUAUGCAGCCAAAGUGUUAGAUGAGAUUGUGUAUUAAGGUAAAACAUCCAUUUCGAAGCAUUAUACGUAGUGGUUUUUUUAUUCUUUCAUUGUGUUGUAUUUGCCUUAAUUUUUCAAGUAUAGUUUUUAUCAUUUUUUGUCUAGCCACAGAAAGAUUAAAAUUGCGUAUAUUUUCCCGCAUUUUACCAUUUUAUAUACCAUGCGCUAGGAACACAGUGUGAUGGAUUACAUUCAAAAGUCUUUAUUGGGUCAACGUUUCUUAUCAGACCGAUAGAUAGCCGGAAGCCGGAACGGGGCUUCAAUCGAAAAAGGGCACGGUUUCGAUGACAUCACCCGCCCAUCAGUUGUGCAAUCAGCAGUCAUGCCAAAGGUACCUGAUUAGAUAAUCCACGUUACGUUACAAACAGGAACGGUCCCAGGAGUGCCGGGAGUGAACGAUAAACCCCCAAUAGCUAGCAAACAAUUGCUCGGAAGUUUGAGAAAGAUAGUGCCUUUUGCCAUCAGUGCCAGUGCAGCACCAACUGGAGUUUAAAAAUAAGAUCGCUUCACAUGAGUUUAAAAUAACGUCCGGAAGUACAUCAUCAUACACCUGCUUGGACCGGUUGCCGAGCUGGUGAUGGGAAAUGCUACAAGUGUCUGGCCUAUAUUUGGCCGCAUACUUCUACCGCGGAUCUUGGCUGCUUAAGCGUAUUAUUUGGAUGGUAGACUGCUAUAAUCAUAACGCAUAGUUCGUGUAAGGUUCGCUUGGUAGGAGUAAGGUGGAGGUGGUUGCUGGACUAGUGAUUUAAUGGAUUGCUUCAUUAGACAAUCUGCUUCGACCAUUAAAUUUCCUCAAAUUAAUGAAUCGAUGGGAGCAACAUAAUUUUUCAAUUUAAAUUUUAUAUCUGGAUUAAUCAUACAAAGAAAUUAAUUUAAAAUAAAACCAUCAGCAUAGUGAACAAUCAACACACCGAUCAAAACGUUAUAUGAAUCUGUUUCAAAGACAAGAAUUGUAUAUUACUGUAGAAUAGUAUAGCUUUUUAACUUUUCUUAUAAUGGCAACUGAAAAACAGUCGCCGCAAAACAAACGUUUGCGUUCCGGAAAACCUACAUUGAAAACAUCGUGGCGUGAGAAUCUGCUUCCGGUAAGCACGUGUUCUCAUCACCUCUGGAAAGAAAGUAGAAAAA